UACAGAGGUCUCAAGCGUUGUUCGGAUUCAUUGGGCGUAAAGGGUGCGUAGGUGGCGCUGUAAGUCGGGUGUGAAAUUUCGGAGCUUAACUCCGAAACUGCAUUCGAUACUGCGGUGCUUGAGGACUGGAGAGGAGACUGGAAUUCAUGGUGUAGCAGUGAAAUGCGUAGAGAUCAUGAGGAAGACCAGUGGCGAAGGCGGGUCUCUGGACAGUUCCUGACACUGAGGCACGAAAGCGUGGGGAGCAAGACGG
rnacentral:rRNA from 1 species